CCUACGGGAGGCUGCAGUGGGGAAUAUUGCACAAUGGGGGAAACCCUGAUGCAGCAACGCCGCGUGAGCGAUGAAGGCCUUCGGGUCGUAAAGCUCUGUCCUAAGGGAAGAAUACUGACGGUACCUUAGGAGGAAGCCCCGGCUAACUACGUGCCAGCAGCCGCGGUAAUACGUAGGGGGCUAGCGUUAUCCGGAAUUACUGGGCGUAAAGGGUGCGUAGGCGGCCCUUCAAGUCAGAGGUGAAAGGCUACGGCUCAACCGUAGUAAGCCUUUGAAACUGUAGGGCUUGAGUGCGGGAGAGGGGAGUAGCAUGGCUAGUGUGGCGGUUAAAAGCUUAAUUAUUGGGAGGAUCACCGGUUGCGAAGACGGCUUUCUGGACUGAAACUGACUCGGAAGCACGGAAGAGUGGGGAGCGAACAGGAUUAGAUACCCUAGUAGUG
rnacentral:rRNA from 1 species